rnacentral:lncRNA from 12 species
AUGUUUCUGUUGAUGCAUGCGCAUUCUGGAAUCCCAGACAUUAUAACAACAGCGAUGAGAGAGAAAAAAAACGCGAAUGCUGUAUGCUGGAAUAUGAGCAGUCAUUUAUUCCGUCAUCACCCGGGUGCUGAUAGCGCGCCCUCACAGAUGAGACCUGAACAGCACAUGUUGAUAUCUGUGUUUAAACUAAACUCAUUUAAGCCUUGCGAGUUUAAACAUGUAAGAGCCAAAAGACGCGAGCUCGCGCGCGCAGUGAGAAAAAUUGUGUAUGCGCUCACCCGAAGCGCGCAAACCCAUAUAUUUUGCAUAUAUUGCUUAUGCAAAUAUAAGAUCUCUCUGAAGUAUUGUGUUUAAAUUGACAAAUUCAGACAAAAAUUAUGUCAAAAUGCCCGUUUUGGUAAGUAUCCUAUAGCAGACAUAACCGGCUGAACGUAGGCCUUCUGGAUCAGUGCAUUCUCUUAAAGUGACAGUCGUUAUAUUAAUCGAACAGCAACAACAAAGAAAUCACUCACUGCUCUUGAUUAAAAAGCUUUGUAACUUUAAUGAGGAAUAAUCUUUAAUUUAUACAGUCCAAUAUGCAAUGCUGUUUUACAUUUGAUUACUUUAUUCAAUUUCUGUACCUAAAAACUUAUUAAAAAAGUAUAGUUUUUCCAUAAACAGCACAUACUGAACUGAACCGAAAACCGUGACUCUAAAACCGCGAAACAAACCGAACCGUGAAAAAGUUGAACCGUGCCACCCCUUAUAUAUAUAUAUAUAUACCACUUUUUUUGUUUUGUUUUACAAGUCAUAUUUGUGUAACCCCAUGCUUUCACGAUUCCUCAAUUCAAUUCCUCAACUGCAAUUUGCCCUUGUCGAGUAACCAGCAAAAUCCUGGAAGUGGCACAUUCCAUGGAUGAGAAUCCAUAAAACGCAUUAUUAGACCGUUUUCCGAGGCUGCAAAAAUCACAAUAAAGCAUAAUGCUAUUGAGAAUUCACAAAUGGUACGAUUCAAUUAAAUAAAUGUACUGUACUGACCCAAAUAUAAGACGACCCUAAUUAUAAGACGACCCCCCUUUUUCAAGAUGUAGGCCUACCUUUUGGAAAAAGCCUUUUUGAAAACCAUAUCUUGUGUUUAACUUAGAAAGAAAAAAAUAUUUUUUCUUAAAUUAUUUUCAUAUUCCAUAUUUUUCCUAUUUUAAUUUUUGUUUUGAAAGUAUGGUAAAUAAUGGUAAAAUGUACCAACAAUCACAUUUUAAAAUGAUUGCACUUUUAGGUAGCCCAUCUGAUUUAUAGGGCUAUAACAUUUAGUUUAUCCAUCUCAUAGUAGCCUACCAAAAAUUUUUAAAUAUUAUUGUAGUCUUCAAAUCUGGGUACUGUCUUACGUUUUGAAAUCACUUACAGAGGAAGUUUGUUCCCAUCACGCUAACAUGACAGUCACAACUCAUGCCGCUGUAAGCUUUUCUUUUUCUUUUGUUUUCACUUGCGAUCUUUACAACAUGUAUUUCAUGGCACACUCAUUUUACGUGUAUUUGGCACCACCUAUUGUUGUGGUUGUAUUACUGACAUGUCAAAGUAUAGACCCUGAAUAGAAGACAACUGCGUUUUUUCAGAUGUAGUUCCAAGAAAAAAACAUUGUCUUAUAUUCGGGUCAAUACGGUAUAUGUGAUGCAGGUUUAAUAUAUGUGCUCUAAUUACAUGUGUGCAGAUUACGGAUAUGCGUCUUAUAGCAUCUCAGUUCACAGUAAA